UACGUAGGGUGCAAGCGUUGUCCGGAAUUAUUGGGCGUAAAGAGCUCGUAGGCGGUUUGUUGCGUCGGCUGUGAAAUCCCGAGGCUCAACCUCGGGUCUGCAGUCGAUACGAGCAAACUAGAGUGUUGCAGGGGAGACUGGAAUUCCUGGUGUAGCGGUGAAAUGCGCAGAUAUCAGGAGGAACACCGGUGGCGAAGGCGGUUCUCUGGGCAUUACCUGACGCUGAGGCGCGAAAGCAUGGGGAGCGAACGGG
rnacentral:rRNA from 1 species